UAUACCGCUGACGAUGGGAAGGUCACGAGUUUGAAUCCAGUAUCCAGGUAAUUAUUAAAAGUGGUUAUUAAUUCAUGGUAAAAGUAUACACUGCAUUUGAAGUACAGUGUUAAGCGAUUUUUGGUCAUUUAUUUGUUUUCAAUUAAUUUUGUGUCAGUUGAAUGAAAGUUGAGAUAAAUGCUUAUAAAGCGAUUUUGAAGCUGUAGAAUAAAGUCAAUAUACAACGACACGCUUUAUAACUUCUCCAAAUUUGUGUGAACAACGCCUGAACAAAGGCUUCACAUGAAAAUAAUUAAAAUGUUAUUAAACAUGAUGCUGAAUUAAACUGCAAUAAUGUUGUUUAUCAAAUUAGCGUUGUUAAAUCAACAGUCCUUAUUAGGCUAAGUGGAACCUGAAUAAACAUCAUUACAAUACAUGAUUACAAUCACUAAAUGAUAAGUAGCCUAAUAACUUCGCCAGAUUUGCUUGAACAAUGUGUGCGUAGCAGC